GUAAAAAAACUCAAAAAUGCAACUUUUAUUAUUAUAUUACUAGGAAUGAAAAAAAUUAAUAGAUGCAGAAGUUAUGGAGGCAUGUAUGUGAUGGAGUCAUCUUUCAAAAGUUUAGGCAAUUAGCAAGCAUAGAUUGUUUAACAAAAAAGAUAGCAAUUUAUCUAAUUAACAUUGAAAAUUCAUUGGUAAUAUUGGGUAAGUGUUCUAGUAUCGGUAUUUCGCAUCCAAAUAAGCCUUUUUUAUAAAUCCUCUAUUUCAUCAAAAUCUUCUUCGCUAAUUUCCUCCUCUUCUUCGCUUAUCUCCUCACUUGAAGACGGUGCUUCCGAAUAAUUUAUACGAAUCCCUUGAAAUCUUGAGCUACUUCGUUCUGGCACGUUCCUAAUAUUAGGAUUCUGCUCAUUUAGCUUUCUCCUUUUUUCGUUUUUCCUUCUUCUAGACGAUUUUUUAUCGCUCUUUGAGCUAUGAGUCUUCUUUUGCUUCAAAUUUGCGUGCUUAUUGGUAGUCUGUUUCGCAAAAGAUGAGACUGGUGUCCUUAUAGCAUGUUCAAUCUGACUUUCCAUUUUAGGCGUUAUGAAGAUUUUAUUGAAAAUUCUCUUUUUCUCAUCUAUAGAGGGAAUUGGUCUUAAAAUUUCGUAAGGUAAUUUAAUUUGCUUUGGAUACGUAGUCAAACUCCAUCCAAAGUUCUGGGAUUUCACCUGCAAUAUUUUCUGAGCCAUGUCGCUUAGCACAUAAAUGUAAUUGUUUCCAUCUUCAAUAACAUCAUAGCUUUGUUUUAUGCGUUGCAUUAGAUGAAAAACGAUUGGGACGUUCUCACUAUUAACAACAGUGUCAACGUAAAAGCGAAUGUAUGCAAUAAAAUCAAGCGAGUUCUCUGAUUCUAUCGAAGAUAUGUCUGGAUGGUGAGAGAGAAGAUGGAUAAGAUAUGUUGCUACAUAUUCCAUGGUAAAAUCAUGGGUUUUCUGGAAAAAAGCAACCUGAGAACGUAUCCAUAUAGACGCUUUAGUCUUGAUCUCCUCUUCCGGAUCAACAGCAGUCAGGAACAAUAAAGGAUAAUAACUAAUUGGCAACUUUUUAAGUUGCAGCUGCUUCUGAAGCUUCGUCAAAAAUAAAUUUCUCACGUCAAAAUUUUCAUCUUGGCAUAAUAAGGAGAUUUGAACGUAAGAACUAAAAUCUAUAUGUUCCGCAUAAAAAGGAAUGGAACAUAACUUUAAAAAAUAUUUGCUAGCAGUGAGACGUAAAUAAGCACGAGAAAUUUUGGGAGUAUUCUUGAACGGACUUAAUUCACCGUCAGCCAUUAACAAUACUUUCAAUAGCUUAAUGAUAGGAGCUCCAAUAUUUAACGCUUCGGUUCCUCCUGCCGCCGCCCUCAGUCGAUUAACCAAAACCCUAAUUGCUAAAACUUUGCACAUGGUAAGAUUAUCUAAUUUUUCGUAAGUACACCAUUCCUCAUCAUUAUGCGUAUCAUCAUAUUUUUCAGGAAAGCGCUGUAUAACUUUUUUUACUAAAAAUUCUGUAACUUGGUCAGCAACCUUCUCUACCUCUUCUAAAGUGUAUAGAAAUAGUUGUCCUAAAGUCAUAAGCCGUACAGGAAGUCCUCCAUUAUACUCCAAAUUUUCCACGAUAUUCGUUAUCAUAUCGAGUUUGAAUUCUUUCGUCUCCGUUAUAGCGAUAAUCGUCGCUGCCUGUUUGGCUUGUUCCUGUGUUCCAUGUAGACACAACUUUCGUAGUAUUUCAGCAGUUGUUGUUUGUAUAGAAAAAUUUUUUUUUCUUUUGGAGAAUUGGGAAAGAGCUUUAAUUACUUUAGGAUCCGAUUCAAUGCCCGAAGAAACUAUAAUAUUUUCAACUUCUAUAACAACCUCUCCAUAUAUGUUGGGAUGAAUUAGCGGUAAAUGCUGUAAAAGAGCCUCCGACGGCUUAAGGAAAUUGUGGUAUUUUACAGGUUCAUUUAAUAAUUGAAUUAUUUCAUGCACGUUGCUUUUAUUAAAAGCAAACAGAGCUGAACGGUAAACGAAUAUUCUAAAACAUUCAAGACUUGCGGUACUCAACGUUUCAGAAACCC